ensembl:lncRNA
GGACAGGGUUGAAAGAUGACGCCGAGGAACAAAGGAGGGGAGAACAGGAGCAGAUGAACCGUGCCAAAGGCUGAAUGCCUGGAAAUCCCCAGCAUGAAAGUCUUACGAUGAGCCCCAUAUGCAAUCUACCGCUGCCUUAGUAGAGGUAAGAAUUGAGGUUCCAAGUUGUCCCUUGCCUUAACUGGACCUGCUGGUAGAAGUGUACCAGAGAAAACUUCCUUACACUUUGUGGCACUUGAUAGUGCUGUUCAACACACGUGCAGAGUGGCGGCCCUGAGCACACCUCGUUGCAAGCUGCUUUGGGUUUAUGGUCCCUCUGUGGUCUUUGGGUAGCGUACUGGUCCUAGCUGGAGGAGUUUACAGCCAUGUUCUGGAAGAUACAUUCUUUGUACUUACCUGUUAGAUUUUCAUAGAAGCUAUGUGUAUUUCCUAACAAGAUACAAAUGAUGGACUUGGUAUUCUUAGUGAUCUAUCCCUCUGCCUUCAAUCCAUUCUCCUGCAUAUCUUUUUGCUUUCCUUUCAUUGCAAUCAUGUUAACUGUGUACUGUAGCCAUUGCUGUCCGUGAUGUAUUUGUUUCAAAGCAUUUCACUUAUUAAGAGAGAGUUGGAUAACAAGUAAUAAAAAAAAUCCAAGCAUGUGACCAUUUGAUUGGUAAGUUUUGAGUGCAGUCCUACCAUCAUAAUGAAAGAGCAGAUCCCACAGAAUAAUACAAUGGAAGAAUAAUCUUUGCCACAGGGGAACUCUUGCAAGCAAAAUCAAUCUUGAUAGCUGUUUCUGUGGUUUAGAUGAAAUUAAUAGGCCAAGGGUGGGAAUCUAAUCCCAUGUUAACAACAUUUUUCAUGGCACCAUGAGCUAUGUAUCAUGUUCUCCUCAUGCAGUUGUGACCAUUUUUCAUGUAUCAAUACAUUAUGAUUCACCGUGAUGUACACAAACCAAAAGUCCAGAUGACAUUUUAGGGCUGUUACUGAAAGUUGGGGUUAUUUCUGUAGUUUAGCGUCUUGUUUUGUGAUUGUUGUUAGUUUUUUAUUUAUUCUUUUACGAAGAUGAUUCUAUUUUCUGUCUGUAUGAGAGGUUUACUUCUACAUUUAAGUAAUUUGCUAUUCUGCAGGGCCUACUUUAAGGAUUACAGGAAAAUUUAGCUUGGGC